AUAGCGUAUAUUAAAGUUGUUGCAGUUAAAAAGCUCGUAGUUGAAUUUCAGGCCUGGCCGGGCGGUCAGCUUAACGGCGUGCACUGUCUGGCUGGGCCUUACCUCUUGGUGAGCCAGUGUGCCCUUUAUUGGUGUGCAUUGGGGAACCAGGACUUUUACCUUGAGAAAAUUAGAGUGUUCAAAGCAGGCCUAUGCCCGAAUACAUUAGCAUGGAAUAAUAAAAUAGGACGUGCGGUUCUAUUUUGUUGGUUUCUAGAGUCGCCGUAAUGAUUAAUAGGGAUAGUUGGGGGCAAUGGUAUUGAGUCGCUAGAGGUGAAAUUCUUGGAUUGACUCAAGACCAACUAUUG
rnacentral:rRNA from 1 species